UCCGGUUGAACCUGCCGGACCCCACUGCUAUCGGGGUGGGACUAAGACAUGCUAGUCGUGCGCCUCCAAGCCACGGUGGAGGCGCGGCGCACAGCUCAGUAACACGUGGCUAACCUACCCUUGGGACAGGGACAACCCCGGGAAACUGGGGCUAAUCCCCGAUAGGUGAGGACUCCUGGAAUGGGUCCUCGCUGAAAGGGCGUCUAGACCAUGCUUCUAGACGCUGCCCAAGGAUGGGGCCGCGGCCGAUCAGGUUGUUGGUGAGGUAACGGCUCACCAAGCCUAAGACCGGUACGGGCCGUGAGAGCGGGAGCCCGGAGAUGGACACUGAGACAAGGGUCCAGGCCCUACGGGGCGCAGCAGUCGCGAAACCUCCGCAAUACGCGAAAGCGUGACGGGGCCACCCCGAGUGCCGUCCGCUGAGGACGGCUUUUCCCCAGUGUAGACAGCUGGGGGAAUAAGGGGAGGGCAAGUCGGGUGUCAGCCGCCGCGGUAAUACCCGCUCCCCGAGUGGUGGGGACGCUUAUUGGGCCUAAAGCAUCCGUAGCCGGCUGGACAAGUCCCCUGUUAAAUCCAGCGAUUUAAUCGCUGGACUGCGGGGGAUACUGUCCAGCUAGGGGGCGGGAGAGGCCGGCGGUAUUCCCGGGGUAGGGGUGAAAUCUUAUAAUCCCGGGAGGACCACCAGUGGCGAAGGCUGCCGGCUGGAACGCGCCCGACGGUGAGGGGUGAAAGCUGGGGGAGCGAACCGGAUUAGAUACCCGGGUAGUCCCAGCUGUAAACGAUGCGGGCUAGGUGUUGGCACGGCUACAAGCCGUGUCAGUGCCGCAGGGAAGCCGUUAAGCCCGCCGCCUGGGGAGUACGGCCGCAAGGCUGAAACUUAAAGGAAUUGGCGGGGGAGCACCACAAGGGGUGAAGCUUGCGGUUUAAUUGGAGUCAACGCCGGG
rnacentral:rRNA from 1 species